rnacentral:rRNA from 1 species
ACGCGUGGAACCUUACCAGGUCUUGACAUCCCACUGACCGCUAUGGAGACAUAGUUUUCCCUUCGGGGACAGUGGUGACAGGUGGUGCAUGGUUGUCGUCAGCUCGUGUCGUGAGAUGUUGGGUUAAGUCCCGCAACGAGCGCAACCCUUGAUCUUAGUUGCCAGCAUUAAGUUGGGCACUCUAAGGUGACUGCCGGUGAUAAACCGGAGGAAGGUGGGGAUGACGUCAAAUCAUCAUGCCCCUUAUGACCUGGGCUACACACGUGCUACAAUGGAUGGUACAAAGGGCAGCAAAGCGGUGACGCCUAGCAAAUCCCAUAAAACCAUUCUCAGUUCGGAUUGUAGGCUGCAACUCGCCUACAUGAAGCUGGAAUCGCUAGUAAUCGCGGAUCAGCAUGCCGCGGUGAAUACGUUCCCGGGCCUUGCACACACCGCCCGU